rnacentral:rRNA from 1 species
CCUACGGGUGGCAGCAGUGAGGAAUAUUGGUCAAUGGGCGUAAGCCUGAACCAGCCAAGCCGCGUGAGGGAUGAAGGUUCUAAGGAUCGUAAACCUCUUUUAUAAGGGAAUAAAGUGUGGGACGUGUCCUAUUUUGUAUGUACCUUAUGAAUAAGGAUCGGCUAACUCCGUGCCAGCAGCCGCGGUAAUACGGAGGAUCCGAGCGUUAUCCGGAUUUAUUGGGUUUAAAGGGUGCGUAGGCGGUCUUUUAAGUCAGCGGUGAAAGUCUGUGGCUCAACCAUAGAAGUGCCGUUGAAACUGGGGGGCUUGAGAAUGUUUGAGGCAGGCGGAAUGCGGGGUGUAGCGGUGAAAUGCUUAGAUAUCGCGCAGAACCCCGAUUGCGAAGGCAGCCUGCCAGGCCAUGACUGACGCUGAUGCACGAAAGCGUGGGGAUCAAACAGGAUUAGAUACCCGAGUAGUC